GUGAGUAAAGCACAUUUCUUCGUGUUACAGUGCAGGCUUUUGGAGCAAGCACAGGCCCAGAGGCCUAACUCAGGCAUUCCUUAGUUGAGGCUGUUCACUACACACAGAACACCCCGUGUAGAAACGCUGAUUCAGGGAAGUGCCCAGUGUGUAGCUCGUGUCUGUUUUCACUUGUUAGAAAGCACGUGUAAGUGUGCCGCUUGUCCACCUGGAAAUGGGGGCCUGACGGCAGAAGCCAUCUCGUCAGAGGUGUUGGGAGUGUGUAGAGGCCUUAUAUUCCUGUUGUGUGUCCUGCAGGCAUCCCAUGAAAGACCAGAAUCUAGGUCAACUUGGGCAAGCCACUUAAGUGAGCCUCAGCUUUCUUUAUUUGUAAGGUGGGCACCACAGCGCUUCCCUCCCGUAUGCAUGGCGAAAUCCUGGCAACAAACGUACACCAUGUGGCCCCACUUUGAAAUCUUUAAAGAGGUCUGCCAAUAAAAGUGUCUGUAGGUUGUACCUUCCCUGCAAUGCGACACCUGGUCCAAGGUGGAGAGGUUCAGGAGUGAGCAGUUUGCCCUUCACAUGAAUGGACAGAGCUCAGCCAGCGGCGUCCCUUCACUGAGAUCCUGGCUGCCGAGGUCCACACUUUCCAUGUAUCCAGGCUAGUUUCAGAUGGAGACUGAGAGGGAAAAUAGGCAGGUGUAAGGAUGCAAUCCUCAAAUCUUUGGCUUCAAAUAAUCCAUCCCAAACUGCUACCCGAGCCCCCCAGUAUCAAAAAGGAAACAUGUUAUAGACCCAGAAAAAUGUGUUUCCCAAAAGGCCUAGGUUUGCCCUCAUAGUCAUCAGUAUCUAAAAUAGAAGUAGCACUACACUUAAAAUCUUAAACUUCUAUGUAUAUAGGGACCAAAGGCAUUUUCAUCAGAAAGAAAAGGGAUUUAAUAAUGAAACCACAGACAGAUAAAUUGUUUUCAAGCCCCUGAUAAGAGAGGGGAGAAAUGUCAACUUCAUGGGAGUUGCAGAAUCAGCAGUUAGGAUUUUUGGAUGCCAACACUGGGGGAGAAGAGACUCCAGCCUGUACCCUCCCCGCCCACCCUCCGCAGUAUGCCUGGUUAGGAGGUGAGUCCUGCAGGCGCGGUGGCCCCUGGGCUGGCCGGAGCGGCAGGGUGAGUGCAGGGGUCCCUGAACAGAACAGUUUACCCUCCCUUCCCAGAGACACCUGGCAAUGUCUGGAGGGUGGGCUAGCGGCAGGUGGCCAGGGACGCUGCUAAACACACUGCAAUGCCCAGGACAAAGCCCACCACAGGGAACAAUUCAGCCCAGAAUGUCAGCAGUGCUGAGGGUGAGAAACCUAUGCACGUGGCAAUGCUGGCCUCCAGGAGGAGCUCAGGAGACAGCGCAACCCCUUUCCUGCCCACAAGGGGGCGAUGGUCCUCUCCUGUAGCUUGCUCCAAUUUAAGGGCCUUUUGCUGUCCGCUGCUGGUGAGUGACCCGGUGCCCUGGCUUUAGGAGUCGGGGCCUGAGGGCCUCGUUAGCUCCCCGAAUUCUGUGCACUCAGAGUGCGCUUUACCCCCACGCUCCCCGCUGUUGUAGAGCAGGGUCUGCAAAGCCAGGAGGAGGGAUUGCUGGAUUUGGCGCUAGCAGGCGUGGUCUUGGCGUCACUGGUAAUGCACAGGGUGGUAUCUGGGGUAGAAAGAGACGAAUCAGGCCGAUUAGCAGCGAGGUGGCGGCUGCUGUGCGGAGCGCCCCUGAGUCGCGAGGCUCCGGGACCCGCUGGUCAGCAGCAGAGGCGUGACGACGACGAAGCCUCACCCCGUGCCCCGCGGCCUGGGCCUUUCGGAGCUGCCCUCUUCAGAAGGCUCUCCCAGGCGCAGACCACCCCAUCCCCAAGCCCCAGCACGCUGGCCACUCCGCACUGGGCACCUAGGGGUAGUGCGGGGUGUGGUGUCCACGCCAGACUGACGUCCAGGUCAGAGGGGCUCAGCCUGAGGCUGAAAGGAGAUGGAUGGCUCAGUAGGUUAGUGGCGGUAUCUCUUGGGAGGGAAGCACAGGGAAUUUUUACUUCUCAGUUAUCUUCUGCAUUUUAAAAACUUCUGCCAUGAGUAUGCAUUUCUGUAACCAAAACCUUAUUAGAGUGGAAGCUUAGCGAGGCAGCUUUGCAAAAGGACCCUGCCUGACUCUUGACCCGCCUGUGUGCCUAAAUGCGCAUGCAGCUGCGGCUUGGUCAGCAGUGGUGACCUCCUGAAGCUAUUUACAACCUGUAAACGGUGUGUGCUCCUCCACGGGAUAUCUCAGUUCUCUGACUCUCAGGUUCUUCUUCUGUGGAGAAGAAGGGCAGAUAUGUUCUACAAAUGUCCACAGUUCCCCGUGGAGAAGGUACCUCUGGGCAUGAACAUGUGCUGGAGUGGCAUGAUGCUGGGGUCUGCCCCUCGCAGCUCAAUCUCAAAGACUCCAAGCAGAGCCACCUACUUUAUAUUUUUCUUCCCUUCUGAAGACAUUGGCUGGCACUUGGCCUUGGUCCAGGGUGUACGCCUUCUUCAACCUGUUGACUGCAGAGUCCUCACAUUGCUUUGGGCUUGGUCCAAGUCUGUGCUUGAGUGGAGGACGGGGCUUUGAGAGGGUCCACACGCCCCUCCUUCCCAGCCACGCACCUUCUUUUCCUUGCCAAGCUCUCCCUUCUCCUACUGUGACAACGAAGCAGCUGCUUCAACCUCUUCUGUAACCUGGGCUCUCUCAUCUGUCUUCAGUUUUUCCCGUGCUCAUAGCUGGAUAGAAACCUGCUGGGGGGUGUUUUUCAGACGAACUUGAGUAACUUGCCCUCGUAGAUUAGUUAAGAGCCUGUAGGUCUCGAAGGGAUUUGUGGAAAAGACCCAGCAGAGUCUGCGAGAACCCGAGGCGGCUGUGGCUGGAGCCAGGUGAGCCACAGGUUAGGGGCGUCUGGGCCUCAUCCUGUGUGAGGGUGGAUGCGCUACUGCUGUCCUCUGCCUCGGGCCCUCAUCUGUGAAAUGGGGGAACAGUGAGGACUGCCCUCCCGAGGUCGUCAUGAGGCUUAAUGUGUGAAUGCACUGACCACUCAGAGCAGCCCUCACCGCAGGGAGAGGUGUGUGUGUGUGUGUGUGUGUGUGUGUGUGUGUGUGAUUGCAGCCACCGGGCUUCGCUUUUCUCCACCAGCUCCUUCUUCACGGGGAAGCAAGGAGAGGCAUGGGAGGGAGGGAAGGAGAAGACUAGAAAAAGGAGGCAGAGGGAGGUCCCUGGGGAAGGGUUUCUGCCACUCAUGCAUGGGUGGCCUGGGCUCCAAACUUGGGGUUUUACACCAGGGCGUGUGAGCAAGGGGCGGCGGCCAGGGGCAGAGCAUUUGCAGACCGUGCGUAGGUCUGGACAGAGCAGGAAGACGCCAAGGCUCUGCCUCCUCCCAGCUGUCAAGGCCCGAGGCAACAGGUCACCCCUUCUGAGUCCCUGAGAAAUUGGGAGGUGCUAGUCCAAGGGCACAAAGUUUCAGUUAUGCCAGAUGAAAACAAGUUCUGGAGCUCUGCUGUAUAAUAUGGUGCUUGUAGUUAACAAUACUGUAUUGUGUGCUUAAAAUUUACUGAGGAUGGCUCCUAUCUUAAGUGUUCUUACCAUACACACAAAGAAUGAUGAUAAUAGGAAUAAUAAUAAAUAAAGGAAUGAAUAGGUCGGGAGGACACCUUUGGAGUGACACAUAUGUUUACGGUGUAGAUUGUGGUGAUGGUUUCAUGGGUGUAAUCUGUCUCCAUACUCACAAAGUUGCAUGUAUUAAUCAUGUACAGCUUUCUGUAUGUCAAUGAUACCUUCAUAACGUGGUUUAAAACAAUAAAAUGGGGGGGAAUAUAGUCACUCCAAGUACUGAGCACGUUGCCUGUCACAGUAAAUAAGGAAAUAAAUGUAAUUAUGGUUUAACCUUAGCUCAGGACUGAGAGUGGGUCCCACAGGUACUUGGCAGGUGGUGUCUGUGGCCAGCUCCUCCACCCUGGCUCAGCACUGCUUCUGUGAAGCACAAGGGCUCCCCAAACACAGAGACCAACUCCAGGUGCACACUCGUGACAGAGAAGGUGGGUUGGUCGCAGACACCUUGUUUUGGUUACUUGCUAUUCCUUCCUCCACACACCCUUUCAUUGUCCUGGUCCUUAACCUUUAACUCCUGUAAGAAGCAGGGUUUGCAGAUUUCUGAAGACAUUUUGCAGUGUGCAGACCUGUUUCACCUUUGUUCCCCAUCCUUGGGUCUGGAGAUAAAGGCGGGAAGACAGUACUCCAUGAAAGCAACAAUCACAAACCUCAGGUAUGCUCACCCUCAGGUGCCUCAGACUUCAAAGAAAUGGCAAACUAGGCAUCUCAUUUUAUACAUGGCCCUCUUUAAGUACACUUGUAUGUACAUAAAAUGAAAUUGUACUGAAAUAAAUCUUAUUGCUGAACGUUUGCUUUUCGGAAGACACUUUGGUGUAAAAGUUCCUAAGAAAAUUUGUUUUUUUAAAGGACCAAAAGUGGGGUGAGUGUUUCAUGGGUAAAGACCUUUUUCGUAACGAGUGAAGGUGAAAUGAGCAGACUGUGCAACUCAGAUUCCAGCUGCGUCCCCGUCACUACCCUCGGGAGUGUGCCGGAAGGACCCCAGAGAGCUGGCCCACUGCGAUGAGCUUACAGCCUUGGGGCCCCAAACUGGAAGGAUGGUCAGCAUUCCUGGUGCUCUGGGUUCAGCAAGACCUGACUGAGGGACUCUCUUUUCUGGUUGUUGGCUGAGUAUGUAAUGUCCACUCUGGGUCAUCUAAGGGCCGAGACCAAGUACUCUGUUCCUGCUGUGACCCGUGCUUCUGCUACCACGUGCUGCACAAGAGGUGGAAAGUAGGAACUGCAGCCCAGCAAGCCACGGACCCAGGCAAUGCUAAAACUGCAAAGUCACCUGUGUUGAUUCCAGCCAGCUUUUAGUAAGUAAAUCCGUGACUCUUGUAAGAAGAGAUUUCAGAAGAUGUGUACCUUCUACAGAAUUCACAUUUAGUGAGGGGCGUGUGAAAAGGUAUACACAAUUUUAAUCUUUUUAUUUUACUAAUAGCGUAUCUUAAUGAUUGAAAAAUAGAAAUUCCUGUAAAUAAAAAGAAAACCAGAAAGUACUCAUACUUUACACACCUAGUGUUCACGAUCUAAUGGGCCUGCUUCCCCUUCCCCUCUCUCUUCUAUCUGAGCCUCCACGAUGGACGGGACUCACCUGGUACAAGUGACGCGGGGUCGAGCUGGACUGUUGGUUUUCUGCUCCGCCUCUGCUUCCUCUCCGCAUCCUGGACUCUAAAGAAGAUGAAUGAAAUGUCUGCUCUGGUUGCUGGCUGUUUCAUCUCCAACUUAACCUCAGUCUGUGGUUGUGGAGGGCCUCAGAAGUCAGGAAGGUCCCCCGCCGCCAACAUGGGGAGGGUGGGGCCGGACCCAGGUUCCAGCCCAGCCCUGACACGCAGUGCGCUCAGUGGGACAUGUUGGCAUGCAUGCAAGGCUGUAGCGCUGCCAGCCCCCAUAUGCUGCCUUCUUGAGGGCUGGCGGUGCCCUUCAGGACUGGCUGCAUCUUUCGUCCCAUUUGAGUGGGCAGUAGUAGAUAAUAAAAUCUCAGAAUAUCCCUUGACCCGUGACCAUCCAGGCAGGCAUCUGUGGUCCUCCAGCUCAGGCCUGCCUGGGCCCUGUCAAGCCCCUGUGGCCAAUCACUGAGCUGACCUUGCUGCUGGGCAAUUGAACAGCUACCUGGGCAGCGUAGACGGCCCCUUGGGAAGUUUCAGUUCCCUACAUCCAUGUGAUUGAGAAAAGGGCUUCCUCCCUCAUAGCCUCUCAGCCUUCUGAGAGGAAAUAACCCUGCAGACAUUGAGUGUGGCCCUGGCCACAAGCAGCAUACAGCAGACCGUGGCCCUGCAAUCCUCUGGCCUUCGGGUUGUUGCAAACCUUUGACAUUCAUACUCAUUGAAAAUCAAAGGUAUGGGAGCAAGUGGCUUCCCAGCUGGUGUUCGCACUCUGAGGCCACGUGGUCUCCAGGAGCCACGUGCAUCCGGGCCCAGUCCCUGCGGCCUCCGGAAAGCCAGCCGACUGUGGAUUCCACGGUACAGGAUCAUCCUCGAGACACUGCUCCGCUGAGUAACAGUUCCCUUACCACCUACCGUUUGGUUUCUGUUCUCUGUAAAGGAGAGAGCAGAGACUGGGAAAUGAGCAAAUGUGUUCUGUGGAGAUGGGUAAUUAAUAUAGUCAGAGGGCAGGUGUGACUCCUGGGCUCCCACCUCCCAGGGACACAAAUGAAGUCUGUGUGCCUUUUGAGGUAUACUGGCAAUCAGGGCCAGCCUCUGAUAUGAGGCCCCGAUGCCCAAAGCAAGAGUCUUGAGUUUACCACCAACAGCGAAGUUGCUAUUUUAGCUAGUGGAAGAGCUUCCUGCCAUCAAGGGAGGACAACAAGAGCCCUGGAUGGGUGACCACAGUCACUGACCUUAACUGAACCUCUUCUUUUCUGUUAAAAUGGACAUUGAGUGGGUGUCGCCUGCAGUUUCUGGAAGCCCUGGAUGCAGUGAGAGAGACUUUUCCUGUGAAUGGGGCCACCCAAAGGCAUUUAGCAGGACAAAGGAUUGGAGGGAGACCAGAUCACACUGCAAGAGAGUGAGCCACCAGAACUGCCAGGUCCAAAUCCACUCUUAAACCUGUCUCUUGCAGUUAUUAAUUUAUUUCUAUCGUUUAAAAAUAAUGUUUUAUUUUACUUUAGUAAGUGUGUCCAGUCCAUUGGAAUCAAAAAAGUCAUAGCUGAUACAUCAGAACGAAUAAUCCCUGAGACUCCCUUGGGUGCCCUACUGGAUGGGGCAUGGCUGGGCGAGAUGAAGACACUGAGUAGGGUCCGAACUUAGGGGAACUGCCAGACUGCUGUGUCUCUGUUCCUUCCCUGUCCCAGGAGAGCGAAAUCCCGGAACAAUGGAAGGACAAGCAAAAUGGGGAAGAGGUCUUUUGGUGGCUUAACUGUUCUGUUUGUAUUUUCCUUUGUUAUGUUCCGUUUUGUUAAUGUGUGUUUUUACUAGGAAGUUACCCAUUUUCUCUAGAUUUCUAGUGUGACACAAUAGGUUUCUCAUUCUAGUUUUCAACCGAAUUGUCACUUAUUAACUGACAUCCAUAUUUCAUUUGGGUUUCCUUCAUUCUAACUUUUUGUCUUCCAGGAUGCCAUCCAGUGUAUCAUGUGACAUUUAGUCAUCAUGUCUGUUUAGACUCUUCUGGGCUUUCACAGUUUCUGAGACUGUCCUUGUUUCUAUGACCUUGACAUUGGUGAGUAGUACUGGUCAGAUAUUUUGUUGACUGUCCCGCUUUGGAAUUUACUUGGUGUUUUUCUCAGGAUUAGGCUUGAGUUAUGGGUUUUAAGUAAGCAGAUCACAGAGGUAAAGUGCUUUCUCAUCACUUUAUAUCAAGGGAACAGGCUCUCAAGGCAACUUAUCACUGUUACUAUUAACUUUGGUCACCUGGCUGAGGUAGUUUGUCAGAUUUCCCCACAAUAAAGUUAAGUUUUUCCCAUUUCCGUGCUGUGUGUCUUCUUUAGGAGGAAGCUACUUUGGGAACCAGCACUUAUGGAGACAGGAGUUAUCUCCACCUCCACAAUCCAUGGAUGGCUGAGUGUCCACAUCAAUUAUUUAGACUUCCACAUAGGAGAUUUCUAUUCAACCUUAUUGAUCAAAACAAACAAACAAACAAACAAACAAACAAAACCCUAUGCAGUUACUUAUUUUUACCAGCAUGGACACCUGUGGACAGUUUUUGUUUGUUUGUUUUUCUUUGUUUUUUUAACUUUUUGUUAUAAUCCAGCAGUCCAGAUUUUGUUGCUAAGUUCAUUCCUACUUUGGCUAUUGAGAGCUCUUUCCAUUGGCUCCUGUUUUCCUUUGACAUCAUUCCACCCUGUGGACUUUUUUUUCUUGAUACUUCCUUAUUUUCUGAUAUAAGAUUCAAGAUUGGGGCUUCCCUGGUGGCGCAGUGGUUGAGAAUCCGCCUGCCAAUGCAGGGGACACAGGUUCGAGCCCUGGUCUAGGAAGAUCCCAUAUGCCGCGGAGCAACUAGGCCCGUGAGCCACAAUUACUGAGCCUGUGCGUCUGGAGCCUGCGCUCCACAACAGGAAAGGCUGCGAUGGUGAGAGGCCCGCGCACCGCGAUGAAGAGUGGCCCCCGCUCGCUGCAACUAGAGAAAGCCCUCGCACAGAAACGAAGA